GACAGAGGUGCCAAGCGUUAGGCGGAAUCACUGGGCUUAAAGCGUGUGUAGGCGGAUGUCUAAGUACCUUGUGAAAUCCCACGGCUCAACCGUGGAACUGCUUGGUAUACUGGAUGUCUUGAGCCAUCUAGGGGCUACCGGAACAAAUGGUGGAGCGGUGAAAUGCGUAGAUAUCAUUUGGAACGCCAAUGGUGAAAACAGGUAGCUGGGGAUGUGCUGACGCUGAGACACGAAGGCCAGGGGAGCAAACGGG
rnacentral:rRNA from 1 species